rnacentral:rRNA from 1 species
UACGAGGGGUGCAAGCGUUGCUCGGAAUCAUUGGGCGUAAAGCGCACGUAGGCGGCUUUUUAAGUCAGGGGUGAAAUCCUGGAGCUCAACUCCAGAACUGCCUUUGAUACUGGGAAGCUUGAGUCCGGGAGAGGUGAGUGGAACUCCGAGUGUAGAGGUGAAAUUCGUAGAUAUUCGGAAGAACACCAGUGGCGAAGGCGGCUCACUGGCCCGGUACUGACGCUGAGGUGCGAAAGCGUGGGGAGCAAACAGG